GACGUAGGGGGCCAGCGUUGCUCGGAAUUAUUGGGCGUAAAGGGCUCGUAGGCGGUUUGUCGCGUCGGGAGUGAAAACCAGGUGCUUAACACCUGGCUUGCUUUCGAUACGGGCAGACUAGAGGUAUGCAGGGGAGAACGGAAUUCCUGGUGUAGCGGUGAAAUGCGCAGAUAUCAGGAGGAACACCGGUGGCGAAGGCGGUUCUCUGGGCAUUACCUGACGCUGAGGAGCGAAAGUGUGGGGAGCGAACAGG
rnacentral:rRNA from 1 species